GACGAACCGUGCGAACGUUGUUCGGAAUCACUGGGCAUAAAGGGCGCGUAGGCGGCUUUUCAAGUCAGGGGUGAAAUCCGGCAGCUCAACUGUCGAAGUGCCCUUGAUACUGAUGAGCUCGAGGGAGGUAGGGGUCUGUGGAACUUCCGGUGGAGCGGUGAAAUGCGUUGAUAUCGGAAGGAACGCCGGUGGCGAAAGCGACGGACUGGACCUCUUCUGACGCUGAGGCGCGAAAGCCAGGGGAGCAAACGGGG
rnacentral:rRNA from 1 species